rnacentral:rRNA from 1 species
AGUCGAGCGGAAACGCCCUAACGAAGUACUCGAGCGGCGAAUCGGUGAGUAAGGGAUGAGACACCUGCCCCUGGCUCUGGGAUAGCUCCGAGAAACCGUUAUCAAUACCGGAUAUGAACACCUGCUGCAUGGCGGGGGGUGGAAAGUUUUUGCGGCUGGGGAUGGGCUCGCGGCCUAUCAGCUUGUUGGCAGGGUGAUGGCCUACCAAGGCGACGACGGGUAGCCGGCCUGAGAGGGCGGGCGGCCACACUGGGACUGAGACACGGCCCAGACUCCUACGGGAGGCAGCAGUGG